CGAAACUGUGCCACAGCACUCCAGCCUGGGCAACAGAGUGAGACUCUGUCUCAAAAAAAAAAAGAAGACUUUAAUAAUAUUACUAAUACUCCUCAUACAUAAAUAGUAGCAAAGAAAAAUUACUAAUAUUAAAGUAACUGAUAUUUACUGACUGCGUACUAUACACCAGACGUGGCUCUAAGCAUUAUAUACAUAGACAUUCUAUACUUGAUCCAUCUACCUGUUACAACUCCUUAUGAAAUAGGUCCUGUUAUCCUCAAUUUGCAAAAGGCCUAACCUGAGGCUUCAAGGCCUGAAGGACCUUUCAGCUCAUCAGUGAUGCAAUCGGGAUUUGGAUCUAGGGCGUCUGUGUUGGAGACCAACCUCUCAAACCCUACUCCUGCUCUUGAGGGAUGCGGGGUUUGUUAGCCUCCUUGCCCACUUCAACUAGCUCACCCAAGUCCUACUUUGAAUCAGUUAACGAUGAGCAAUCGUCCUUCUUUCAGAAUCUGGUGUUCUUGUUGCGUGGCAGUGUCUGUCGUAUAUCUGUGUGACGUGUGUUAACAGCGCUGUGGGAAGAGGGUGGGUCUACUGGAGCUCUUUAAAGGGCAGGGUAGGGGCUGUGUCUGUCUCGUUCAAUGCUUUCUCCCAGGGCUUGCACAUAGUAGUUGCUCAAUAAAUACCUGUGGAAUAAAUGUACGCGUGUGUACUCAACUUCAGACCCUGGAGACUGAGGAUGAGCCUGUUGGGGGUCAGGACCAGCUCCAGAGCAUGGUCCAGAGGCCCUGCUUCUGUCUUGAGCUCCCACAUCUCAUCUGCUAGGUCCCUGCUCCUCUGAAUGAGGCCCUGCCUGGCUGGAGAGCUUAGGAGAAAACCAGCCAAGAGCAUCCUUGUCUGUAAAAGGGACCAAGGAAACCUGCCUCGACUGGCUGCAGGGAAGCUAAGUGAGAUGGCAGGACAGACAUAGACAUGCCAUGGCAUUUGUCACCGGGGUGAGGACAAUGUUAGCCUGGGCUCAAAGGGUUAAGGGAUGAGGUCAGAGCCUUUAUUGCAGCAGGCCAGACUGCUGACUGCCAGUGCCCAGGACCAAUCCCCAGGGGCUGGGGAUCUGCCUUGUGAGAGGAACUGGGAGGGGAGAGAACCACUGGAGGCAGCACGGAAAGAGAAAUGGGGAGAAGGAUUCCUGAACGCCAGGCUUUUCUGAACUUACCACUGGCCAGGGAGUACCGGAGGGGAGGGAGAGAAUGAGGGGAUGCCGGGAAGAGAUUUAGGAGGGAGGAGCGGAGCCAUCUUGUGAUUCUGGGCCUGGAAGCUGGUAGUGUGCUGGUUAGGGAGAGGGGACAAUAUUGGGGAGUGGGAGUCCUGCAGAGGGGCUGUGGGGUUGGGCACCUGAGGCCACACAUAUGCAAUGAGGAGGGCACUCCUUCUGGCCAGGCCUCUUCUCUGGUCCCUUCUGCUAGGGCCUCAACCCAGAAGCCAGCCAUGCGAGGCAGCUCUCCCCUUGGGGUUAACUUUUAUCUGAUGGUAGCUUUUGACCCAUUAAGGUGCACAAAACUUCCACCCCUGAUGCCUGGCUUUGGGAAUGAGGGAGGAAACAAAUAGAAUUGAUCAUGUUUCUUUAGGCUCAACAGAUGCCAUUGGGAGGGCCAACUAGCGUUGUGGAGGGCAGCAGCCAUCAGUUAAAUGCUACAUAAAACGCACCGCUUAGCCAGAAGAGGAGCAUCAGCCCUGGAAUCACUGCCAAAUUUGCUCCCCCAUGAUGGAUCUUAAGCAGUUGCCCGACUUCGGCCAGUCCAUGCCAGAGCCUGGGCAUGAGCAGCUGGACCCUAGACCUUAUUCUGCCAGUGUGGCAUCAGAGGUGCUGGGUCCCUCAUCCUCUAAUCCGAGUGCCCCCUGCUCCUGGCUCCUUGCACUCCUCUCCUCAUUUCCUUUCUUCUUUCUCCCUCCCUCCUCCAUCCCUGUAGGCAUCACCAUGGCACCACAGCAGAGCAGAAACCCAGCGCAAUUCACCCACCUCUCCCCGCCUGCUGGGAGCCCAAGCUUCUGCCUCUCAGAGCUGGCUGCACCCCCUGCUCUCCCACCCCAUCUUCCUGCUCAUGGAGGCGGCAGCGCAGCGUUGUGCUAAGGAUGCGGAGAAGGGGUCCAAGCCCCCUUCUCUGACCAUAAGCAUGUCCUUUGCCCUUUCUCAGCCUCAGUGCCUCUGUACCAUGGAAAGGCUCCUUUCUAGUCUGCCAUGACCUUUGUUUAGCCCCUUCUUGACACUUUGGACUCCCAUUACACUUCAGGAUCCAGCUCUCAGAACUCCAACCGCCAGCUGUCAGCUGUGAGCCAAGACUCACAUCUUCUGCAGCCCAUUUCCCUGCCUCCUCCCCUUUGAUAUCUCAGCAGCGAUAGUGACUGCAGCUUGCCUGGCGGCUGAGGUCAGAGGGCAGAGAACUCUCAUCUGACAGACAGCGCGGUGAACAGCUGAAUACCCCUGGCAAGGAGACUGCCUGGCUGUGGGAGACUGCCCGGCUCCUUCCAGCCAGUUGGGCAGGGGUCUUACAUCAGUCUGGGGGGAGCUGCAGGUGUGUUUUGUGCAAAGAGGUGAACCCCUCUAACCCCUCUUCAUUGGCUCUGAUAACCUCUAAGCUGCAGAUGUCGGAAUGAGCUAUGAAAGCUGACGACCCCCUCCCCAGCUGGCCUGCCCAGGAGCUGUCAGCUCUACAAGAACCAGAGUUCCUGGCCCCUAGUCCUUCCCCACAUUGUGCAGUGUGGGGUUACUGGAGACCUCCCCAGAAGCAGACUGGGGAGGAGAGUUGGAGGCUUCAGGGACUGCCUGCUGGGGCUGCUGUAUUCUUUACCCCACUGGGCUGCACCGAUGUCCUGGGGUGAGAAGCAGGAAGGAAUGCGACCAUCAAUAUCCCCAUUUUGUAGUUGAGAAAACUGAAGAGCAGAGGUGUGAUUAA